ACGAAAAUAGUAGUAGCUUGCUACUAUUUUAGUAAUACAUGGGUAACUUGCCUUUAACUUGGGAAUAACGCUUGGAAACGAGCGCUAAUACCCAAUGUGGUGGCACAAGGCAUCUUGUGUUCAUUAAAGUGGGGGAUCGUAAGACCUCGCGGUUAAAGAGAGGCCCAUGGGAUAUCAGCUUGUUGGUGAGGU
rnacentral:rRNA from 1 species